AUUGAACGCUGGCGGAAUGCUUUACACAUGCAAGUCGAACGGCAGCACGGGGCAACCUGGUGGCGAGUGGCGAACGGGCGAGUAAUACAUCGGAACGUGCCCAAUCGUGGGGGAUAACGUAGCGAAAGUUACGCUAAUACCGCAUGCGAUCUACGGAUGAAAGCGGGGGAUCGCAAGACCUCGCGCGAAUGGAGCGGCCGAUGUCAGAUUAGGUAGUUGGUGGGUAAAGGCUCACCAAGCCAACGAUCUGUAGCUGGUCUGAGAGGACGACCAGCCACACUGGGACUGAGACACGGCCCAGACUCCUACGGGAGGCAGCAGUGGGGAAUUUUGGACAAUGGGCGCAAGCCUGAUCCAGCCAUGCCGCGUGCGGGAAGAAGGCCUUCGGGUUGUAAACCGCUUUUGGCAGGAACGAAACGGCGACUCCUAAUACGGGUGGCUAAUGACGGUACCUGCAGAAUAAGCACCGGCUAACUACGUGCCAGCCGCCGCAGUAAGAC
rnacentral:rRNA from 1 species